rnacentral:tRNA from 1 species
UGCAGCUCAGUGGCAGAGUACUUGCCUAGCACACAUGUGGCCCUGGGUUCAAUCUCCAGUACUGCAA